ACAGGGUUUUGCUUGCAGGCUGGGUUUCAACCUCUCACCAGGGUCUCCUAAGCAAAGGGCCUGGGUGCUGGUGAGGGGCUCGCUCUGCAUCACGCUGGGUUUUGUGGAAGAGGUAUGAGGGAUAGCAGUUGGUAAAGAGGAGGAGAAGCUGGGCUCCCUUUCCAAGCUCCCUUGCCUUGUGGCUCUCUGGUCUCCUUACUUUGAACUCCUGGAUAAAUACUUGCAUAAUCAGAUGAAAAGAUUUUUUGGGCACUUGUUUAAUUUGUAUGGCUUGUGGUAUGGUUUCUUUUGUGACUAAGAGACUUGGAUUUAAGUGUUCAGACCUACAGAGUGAGCAGAGCAUUCUGAGAUCAGUGAAGAGCCAAAGCAGCAGCUAACUCUUCUUCACUUGUUAUGUAAAUAGCAUGAAGGGUGAUUGAACCCGUGAAUCUCCUGAUCUCCAGAUAGCCUCAUUCAGGAGAACCCUCAUUUACUUUCUUCACCCAUACACGAUUCUGUGAAGAGUUUCUCAUGUUCUGCAAUACAGAGGUUAAGCAGGAGAGAUCUUUAUUGUUUAAGAAGAGCUUUGCCUAUUUACAUACAUAUGUGACUGGCAUGACAGUGUUUAUUCUUCUGUGCUGUUCUCCAGGUCUUGAAUCGAUCCAAGAAUGAACAAAUGUAAGAAGUCUUAUGUUAACCGGACUACAAACCUUGACAAGUUCAGUCCUGAAAUUCUGUCUGAAAUUGAGAAGCUCUUUGCAAAGAAGUUUACUUACACUAAGCCAGUGAAUAAUGAGUGGCAGCUUCCAGAUCCCAGCAAUGCUUUUACAAGUGAUCACAAGGAAUUCGACUCACUUCUGGCUCUGAAGAUCUCCAUGAAUGACGUGAAGAAUCAACUCAGUGAUAAGAACCUGGAUGAAUGGCAUCAGCACACCUCGUUUACCAAUAAAGCAGGGAAAAUAAUUCCUCAUGUGAAGAAAUGGGUGAAUGCUGAGCUGUGUACCCAGGCGUGGUGCAAGUUCCAUGAGAUCCUGUGCAGUUUUCCUCUUCUCCCUGAAGAAGCUCUUCAGGACAGAGAACUGAAUACUGUCCACCUCUGUGAAGCACCUGGAGCUUUCAUAGCCAGCCUCAACCACUACUUGAAAUCCCACCAUGUCCAAUGUGACUGGAAUUGGGUAGCGAACACUCUAAACCCAUAUCAUGAAGCCAAUGACACUCUUAUGAUGAUAAUGGACGACCGUCUCAUAGCAAAUACCUUGCCUUGGUGGUACUUUGGCCCAGAUAACACUGGUGACGUGAUGACACUGAAACACCUAACAGGACUUCAGAACUUUAUAAGUAACAUGGCCAUAGUUCACUUGGUGACUGCUGAUGGCAGCUUUGAUUGCCAGGGGAAUCCGGGAGAACAGGAGGCUCUUGUCUCACCCCUUCAUUACUGUGAAACAGUCAGUGCUUUAAUGAUCCUGGGCACUGGAGGGUCCUUUGUUUUGAAAAUGUUCACGCUGUUUGAACACUGUUCUAUCAAUCUGCUCUUUCUGCUGAACUGCUCUUUUGAGGAGGUCCAUGUCUUUAAGCCAGCCACUAGCAAAGCUGGCAACUCGGAGGCCUAUGUGAUUUGUCUUCGUUACAUGGGCAGAGAGAGCAUCCAUCCGCUGCUUUCUAAGAUGAUACAGAACUUUGGAACAGAAAUGGUCAACAAAGCACUUUUCCCCCAGCAUGUGCUGCCAGAGUCUUUUCUUAAACUACAUGAAGAGUGUUGCAUGUUCUUCCACAAGUGCCAGGUAGAAACUAUCUCUCAGAACAUCCGUCUCUUUGAGUGCAUGGGAGAAGCGGAGCAGACAAAACUGAACAAGUUAAGAGAUUGUGCAGUGGAGUUCUUCAUGCAGAGACUUUGUCUGAAACCCAUUUCCAGAAAGAACUGGCUUGUCAGGAAAUCUCGGACUGGUUGCAGCAUGAAUACAAAAUGGUUUGGGCAAAGAAGCAAAUAUUUUAGUACGUACAAUGAAAGGAGGAUGCUGGAAACCCUCACGUGGAAUGAUAAAGUGGCAAAGGGCUAUUUUAAUCACUGGGCUGAAGAGCAUAGUUUAAAUACUGCUGGGAAAAUGUGUGUCUUGGAAGGAUUGUCUUCUGACCUCGAGUGUAGCUUGUGGUAUGUUUUGGAAGGAAAAAGAUUACCAGUGAUAAAAUGUUCCCCAUUCUGUGAUAGUCAAGUCUUGGAAAAUCUGAAUGAAGCGCUGAACACAUUGAUGGGGGGGAGUAUGAAGAGCAGAAAGAUACUGCAGACGUGUCAGUCGUGUGAAGUGCUUCCUGGGGAACUGAUACUGGCAGAAGUGUCUGAUCUCUCCAGAUGUCGCCAGGAAGUCCUAAAGGGAAGAUGUGGUGACCAGUUCACGUGCCUUGUGGUAGACUUCUCAUCCCUCUGUGAUAUUGAGAGCCCGCCCAACAUAGAAACAAAGCUCCUGGACUCAUCCACACUGCUGACAUUCAGCCUCUCUUUGCUUUAUGAUGGAGAACCAAAGUACCAGCAGCAGCUUUUGGACUGUGUUCUGCAUUCGUUGGAUCAGCUGACAGUGGGAGAUGCAUUGAUUUUGCCUAUUCUUUCUUGUUUUACACGCUUCACAGCUGGCCUGGUAUUUAUAUUGCACUGCUGCUUCAGACGCAUCACAUUCACUUGUCCAGCCUGCCCUGAGCCCUUGAGGAGCAGCGCUGCUUUGCUGUGCAUUGGUUACCGAGGCCUCCCAAAUCCCGUUGUCCUAUACCUGCAGCAUCUGAAGGAGCUAAUGAGCUCUUUGCUUGACACAGACUCUCCCCAGCAAGUUUUGCAGUUUGUGCCCAUGGAGGUUCUCCUCCAGGGCAAGCUGUUGGAGUUCUUGUGGGAUUUAAACACAGCCAUUGCCAAGAGACAGCUUCACUUGAUUGUGGAAGCUAAGCAGCAGCAAAUGACUAGUGAUGUUUCACUUUAAAAUAGCUCUAGAAUUGAGCAAGUUGCUGCUGCUAGACCUUCUUUCACAGGCAGGCAGGUGAGAAACAGAGGUUGCAGGCUGGGAGAUACAUGCAGUGAGAGCUUUUCCUGUGAAUCAGUUUUUGAACCUGUAAAUGGAAGAAUGCAAGCAGUGCCGCAGGUGCAUUUCACUGAAGAAUAAAAAAGAAAGGCUAAAAAACAAACUAAGGGGGAAGAAACUGCAGAAGAAUAGAUGAUGAGAGAGUGUCAAAGAUCGCCUGUAAAAGCCUGCGUUAUCUGAAACAGAAAGUAUGUGCCCAUAAGUGCUGGGAAGAAUUUGAAAACACCAGCCUAAAAGCAGAGAGUACCACAGCAAGUAGAGAAUGUAAAAAGUGAAAGAAAACAACAAGUCCUGACUGGAGAGAAAUGAUGUCCAACCUGGACCUGGCAGUGCUGGAGAAGGAAGGUAAUAAGGAGGGGAUUUCUGGAAACUUAAUGGAAGAGGUGUUAUGCUGUUGACUAUUUUUUUCUUCCCUCACUACAGCCAGGGUCACUCCCUAGAGUGCUCCUUUCUAAUCUUGGCCUUUUGUCUGAAGUUGGUCUGCUCAACUUUCGUGCUCCUUCAUGGUAACAUGGUUGAUGAUGUCUUCAUCUGAGCUCAUGCUGGGGCAUGGAAUUGUCUCUUUUAUGCUACUAUGAUGCUUUUUGCCUGAUACCU